AGCACAUGAAGGAGGGAUCCGCAUAUUUUCAUCUAGAUCACUCAACCUCUGAUUCUAAAAUUCCCCUGUGAGCUCUUGUCAGAAGGCAGAGUUGCUUCAUAGAAAAGAAAGAACAGAAGAAAAAGGACAGAACUUACUCCAAAGAUGGACUGCAAGCCAAAACACUGUAAGCCAAGACCUCACUGGGCAUGCCCACUGCCCCCAACUGCACCUCUGUGGACACUUUGUCUAUUCAGACAUUGAAUAGGCUGAAGCAUUGAAUAAAUGGAGGAAGGAGAAAGUAUAUUAAGAUGACACCAAAAAUGAUGGCCUUGAGUGUUCACAGAAAUCAGACCUAACAAGACAAACAGGUUUCCAACCUUAGAGGCCACCCUGUCCUCAGGAGAAUUACCAGAGAAGAAGGAGUUUUAUUUAUUUUUCUAUGCAUCUAAAUAUCCUGACAAUCUAAUUUCCAGAGGAUCCUAGUCACCAGGCAACACAAGACAUUUUCCAAUUGUGAGGUCCUCAACCCACUGUUCUGUUUUCUUCUAGUUCAAAAUGAAAAUACAAAGGUCAAAACUGAAGAAAUUAGAUUUGAAUCUUUAUUACUACAGAUACCUGGACCCACCCCCUUCUUAUUGUUCAUCAGAAAUUCUGGGAUAAGUGGUUCUAAAAGGAUUAGAGCAAUAAAUCUCACCUAAGAAUAAGAUCAAAGUCAGUUUCCUGUUUCCCUCAGAAAAAAAAGAAAGUGGAAGGAGAUAGUUUAGUUUUUUUCUGGUGACAGUUUAUUUUAUCCCAGACACUUUCUCCAUUUGUAAUUUAGUCUCAUUUGUGUAUUCAGAAGCAGUGCCAGUUCUGAUGGGUUUCUUGGGUGGGGACUAACAAAGUUAAACAAAGAUGUUCUGGUGCCUGAAGUCCUUAAGAGUCCAGCAGGACCUGAUAUGGUAAAAUAAACUCAGGGAGGGCUGUCUGGACCCAUUUUUUCAGGAGACAAAGUGAGCAUAAAUAAGCACAGAAUCAAUAGGCCUCCGGUGCCAAAGUCAGUGGCAACCUGGGGACAUGGAUUUACAGAGGAAAAUAAUUGCUAUAGUACAUUUGCUAUGAGAAAAUACAAUAUUAGAUAUUCUGGUUUUUAAUAUCAGGGUAUCACAAGGAAAAGUGGUCCAGAUUGGCACUGACUCAGUGCCAAUAUAUAAACGCAUUUUUAUAACAAAUGCUUCAUUUACUGGAAAUGUGGCUAUCAGGUUGCAAAACAUAAAAAUAACUCUCAAAUCUGAGGUCAAACCACAGGGUGUAUAAUUCCCUUUUACUAACUAAACAAUUCAGUCCUAAUUAUUCAGAUGCAGGGGUUAAUUGUUUUCCCAGGUUGUACCUCAAUGUCUAUGAUUUACAAAGUCUGCUAUACACACCAUCUCACCACCAUGGUGUGUCUGUCCCAUUACCCAGAUGAGUUGAACUGGAAAUAGUUUUAUUUGCCAGUUUUAAGUAUCUUUCUCUCCUCCAAGGGUAAAAUUAGUUUCUGUGUGGCUUAACAGAUAUUAUUGUCAUUUGUCCCUUCCAUGGAUAGGACACCUCUAGAGAGGCCAAAAGACUAGAACUGUGUGACUCAAUACAUUAGGUGAGAGUGCCUCAUCCUCUUUGUCUCUUAGCUUCUUUGUAUUUAUGUUCUAGAUGUGUUGUCAAAGUUGUGAUAAUCCUCACCAACCAGUAAGAAAUGAUAAGAAUGAGAUUGUGUGGUUUUUGGGGCUUUUAUUUUCCAUGUGGUGGGAAUAUAAAUGAGCACGACUU